UGGGCGUAAGAGCUCGUAGGCGGUUUGUCGCGUCUGCCGUGAAAGUCCGGGCCUCUACUCCGGAUCUGCGGUGGGUACGGGCAGACUAGAGUGAUGUAGGGGAGACUGGAAUUCCUGGUGUAGCGGUGAAAUGCGCAGAUAUCAGGAGGAACACCGAUGGCGAAGGCAGGUCUCUGGGCAUUAACUGACGCUGAGGAGCGAAAGCAUGGGGAGCGAACAGGAUUAGAUACCCUGGUAGUCCAUGCCGUAAACGUUGGGCACUAGGUGUGGGGGACAUUCCACGUUUUCCGCGCCGUAGCUAACGCAUUAAGUGCCCCGCCUGGGGAGUACGGCCGCAAGGCUAAAACUCAAAGGAAUUGACGGGGGCCCGCACAAGCGGCGGAGCAUGCGGAUUAAUUCGAUGCAACGCGAAGAACCUUACCAAGGCUUGACAUGGACCGGACCGCCGCAGAAAUGUGGUUUCCCCUUUGGGGCUGGUUUACAGGUGGUGCAUGGUUGUCGUCAGCUCGUGUCGUGAGAUGUUGGGUUAAGUCCCGCAACGAGCGCAACCCUCGUUCUAUGUUGCCAGCACGUGAUGGUGGGGACUCAUAGGAGACUGCCGGGGUCAACUCGGAGGAAGGUGGGGACGACGUCAAAUCAUCAUGCCCCUUAUGUCUUGGGCUUCACGCAUGCUACAAUGGCCGGUACAAAGGGUUGCGAUACUGUGAGGUGGAGCUAAUCCCAAAAAGCGGUCUCAGUUCGGAUUGGGGUCUGCAACUCGACCCCAUGAAG
rnacentral:rRNA from 1 species